CUCUGGGACGUCCCGCGCUCGGCGGCGCUCCAUUGGGACCUCCCUCGUACCCGGUGCCUCCUCCGCUGUCACCACCCGGCGGCGGGCCAGGCCGAGGCCAGUGCGACCGAGCCCUGAACGAGCCCUACUUCGAGCUUCGCAGUGCAGACCUGGGCACGGGGGACCUUGACUGCAGGUUCAUUGUGCGUCGGCGGGGCGCCGACCAGUGCCGUCUGGAGUUGCUGUUCGUGCGUUUCGACGUGCACUGCACCUAGGACCAGUUCCGCGUGCAAGACAUCCAGAUAUGUGGCAGACUGGAUCACUACUCCACGCGCACCUACGACUUCGAAGGACCCGAGUUGUAUCUGUACUACCACA